UGAGUUUAGGUAGCGUGUGCUAAGGGAAUAGAUACUGUUUUCAAAGCUUGGGAAUGAUUUAUCAUUAAUGUGGCUUUUUCUUUUAAAAGGGCAGACAUUAUUUUUAUUUCUUUUAUUUUUUCUUUUUAAUUGCCAUAAUUUCUCAAAAGUCCAAAACCCUAAUUUCCCUUCCUCAUAUUCAAUUUUACCCAAAUUCCUUGCAAG
rnacentral:lncRNA from 1 species